rnacentral:rRNA from 1 species
UACAGAGGGUGCAAGCGUUAAUCGGAAUUACUGGGCGUAAAGGGUGUGUAGGUGGUUUGAUAAGUUAGGUGUGAAAGUCCUGGGCUUAACCUGGGAAUUGCGCCUAAUACUGUUAAGCUAGAGUACUGUAGAGGAAGGUGGAAUUUCCGGUGUAGCAGUGAAAUGCGUAGAUAUCGGAAGGAACAUCAGUGGCGAAGGCGACCUUCUGGACAGAUACUGACACUGAAACACGAAAGCAUGGGUAGCAAACAGG